CACACUUCAGAUUUUCCCUUCCAACAGGAAACUGACAGCGUUGACUGAAUGGCAUCAGGAGAGAGGAACAGCCAAUGAGAACCCACUCCCUCCGACUCAGGCGAUGAGGCCGUCGUCAUUCCUUGACUUUCUCAAUUAUCUAGCAUACAUGACUGCUGAUGUCUGUUUCCUCGAAAACCAGCGUGAACAUCCGUGCUUUGUCCUCUCUCCAAGACCAACUGCUCCACGGACAAAGAACCAUCUUCCUGUCUGGCUCUCCUCUCCAAUAAACUACAACCUUCUUCCCAAAGCGGUUGCCAUGUUUAUUCCCAGCUUGGAUGAACCACGAUGAAGAAUUUUCUUCCAACACAGUCAAUGGCGAGAAGCCAGAUCCACUUCACAGCCGUGCUACUAACUUAACUGCAGUGAUUCACUUAAUGGGGCAAAACUCACUUAACAAGUGUCUCUCUUAGCAACAUAAAUGUUUGGCUCAAUUGUGGACAUAAGUCAAGGACUAGCUGUGUAGCUAAAAACUGGAGAGCAUAUAUGAAU